CCCUUCCCCCUGCUUCCGCCCCUCCCUGACUGAUGAAGACAGCAGCCCUCUCCCACCCACCUCCAAGAGGCAGCCUUGGACUGGGUCUGUGUCCCAGGGCCAACCCUGCCCCCUUCUGUCCCCAUCCCGUCCCUGCCAGUCUGGGCCUCACCAUCCUGGAAGUGGCAUGCAACAUGGAGCUGCCCCACGGUGGGGAGGGCUGGCAGCAGCUGCGCCAGGGCUACCUGCCCCCUGAGUUCACUGCCGGUCUGUCUUCCGAGCUGCGUUCUGUCCUUGUCAUGAUGCUGGAGCCAGACCCCAAGCUGCGGGCCACGGCCGAGGCCCUGCUGGCACUGCCUGUGUUGAGGCAGCCGCGGGCCUGGGGUGUGCUGUGGUGCAUGGCAGCGGAGGCCCUGAGCCGAGGGUGGGCCCUGUGGCAGGCCCUGCUUGCCCUGCUCUGCUGGCUCUGGCAUGGGCUGGCUCACCCUGCCAGCUGGCUACAGCCCCUGGGCCCGCCAGCCACCCCGCCUGGCUCACCACCCUGCAGUUUGCUCCUGGACAGCAGCCUCUCCAGCAACUGGGAUGACGACAGCCUAGGGCCCUCACUCUCCCCUGAGGCUGUCCUGGCCCGGACUGUGGGGAGCACCUCCACCCCCCGGAGCAGGUGCACACCCAGGUAAGCAGGUCCAGGGGCUGGGGUGGGCAGGGCUAGCUUUUGGAUCCUGAGUGUCACUACUCUCUCCUCCCAGGGAUGCCCUGGACCUAAGUGACAUCAACUCAGAGCCUCCUCGGGGCUCCUUCCCCUCCUUUGAGCCUCGGAACCUCCUCAGCCUGUUUGAGGACACCCUAGACCCAACCUGAGCCCCAGACUCUGCCUCUGCACUUUUAACCUUUUAUCCUGUGUCUCUCCCGUCGCCCUUGAAAGCUGGGGCCCCUCGGGAACUCCCAUGGUCUUCUCUGCCUGGCCGUGUCUAAUAAAAAGUAUUUGAACCUUGGGAGCACCC
rnacentral:sRNA from 1 species